rnacentral:lncRNA from 1 species
AGCAGCACGUUAGAUCAAGGACACCGAGACGAGCCCCAGAGCCCUUCCCCAAGAGCCAGCAGCAGCGAGCCAUGGCCACCUCGACCGCCGCCGUGCUGUCCCCGCCGUCCGUCGCCGGGCUCCGCCUGGCGCCGUCGCCCAGGGCGCGCGUGUCGUUCCGGGCCACGCCGGCGCGGCGGUCCGUGGCGGCGCGGGCGGAGCUGAGCCCGUCGCUGGUGAUCAGCCUCAGCACCGGCGUCUCGCUCUUCCUGGGCCGCUUCGUCUUCUUCAACUUCCAGCGGGAGAACGUGGCGAAGCAGGUCCCCGAGCAGAACGGCAAGACGCACUUCGACGCCGGCGACGAGCGGGCCAAGGAGUACGCCGGCCUGCUCAAGUCCAACGACCCCGUGGGGUUCAACCUCGUCGACGUCCUCGCCUGGGGCUCGCUCGGCCACAUCGUCGCCUACUACAUCCUCGCCACCUCCAGCAACGGAUACGACCCCAACUUCUUCUGAGCGACGGGCGCGUUCGUUCUUGCUGUAAUCUGCUCGGCGUGUUGGUGUUACUGCGUUGUAUCUGAUGCCGGAAAGAUUGGUUAAUUUGGACAAGUAGUGCUACUGCGUGUGUAUAUUGCCGCAUGAAUUUGGUCUUCAUCUAUGUCGAUCUCUGUGUAUUCAGCUACUUUUCGCUUUCGGUUAUGAGUACAUUCUGAUUAUGGCAGCCAGGCAUGACUUGCGAGCAACACGAGCCAUGGGGAAGAGCAAAAGUAGCAUUUCCAUAGUCCAGAAAAACCAAAAGAAUCCAGAUAAAACCAAAAGAGAUUUGCAAUUAAGU